AGUGAACGCUGGCGGUAGGCCUAACACAUGCAAGUCGAACGGCAGCACAGAGGAGCUUGCUCCUUGGGUGGCGAGUGGCGGACGGGUGAGGAAUACAUCGGAAUCUACUCUGUCGUGGGGGAUAACGUAGGGAAACUUACGCUAAUACCGCAUACGACCUACGGGUGAAAGCAGGGGAUCUUCGGACCUUGCGCGAGUGAAUGAGCCGAUGUCGGAUUAGGCAGUUGGCGGGGUAAAGGCCCACCAAGGCGACGAUCCGUAGCUGGUCUGAGAGGAUGAUCAGCCACACUGGAACUGAGACACGGUCCAGACUCCUACGGGAGGCAGCAGUGGGGAAUAUUGGACAAUGGGCGCAAGCCUGAUCCAGCCAUACCGCGUGGGUGAAGAAGGCCUUCGGGUUGUAAAGCCCUUUUGUUGGGAAAGAAAUCCAUCUGGUUAAUACCCGGGUGGGAUGACGGUACCCAAAGAAUAAGCACCGGCUAACUUCGUGCCAGCCGCCGCCGUAA
rnacentral:rRNA from 1 species